rnacentral:rRNA from 1 species
GAUGAACGCUGGCGGCGUGCCUAAUACAUGCAAGUCGAGCGAACAGACGAGGAGCUUGCUCCUCUGACGUUAGCGGCGGACGUGUGAGUAACACGUGGAUAACCUACCUAUAAGACUGGGAUAACUUCGGGAAACCGGAGCUAAUACCGGAUAAUAUAUUGAACCGCAUGGUUCAAUAGUGAAAGACGGUUUUGCUGUCACUUAUAGAUGGAUCCGCGCCGCAUUAGCUAGUUGGUAAGGUAACGGCUUACCAAGGCAACGAUGCGUAGCCGACCUGAGAGGGUGAUCGGCCACACUGGAACUGAGACACGGUCCAGACUCCUACGGGAGGCAGCAGUAGGGAAUCUUCCGCAAUGGGCGAAAGCCUGACGGAGCAACGCCGCGUGAGUGAUGAAGGUCUUCGGAUCGUAAAACUCUGUUAUUAGGGAAGAACAAAUGUGUAAGUAACUAUGCACGUCUUGACGGUACCUAAUCAGAAAACCACGGCUAACUACGU